CCCGGUUGCUGAGGUUGAGAGAGACUCCGGACCUGCCCUGCAUUGGCAAUCAAGCCCCUUGAAGAAGCCAGUAGCCCUCAGUCUCAGCGCCUGAGUAUUGUCUUCACUCCUGAGUGGUACAGAUGCCUCUCCUGGCCUUCUCCUUGGAUAAGUGCUCAUGACUUUUUUGCUCCUUGUGAUUCCUUGCAUGUCUUCUCACUUCCUUCUCCUCUGCUUCUCCACACUAGCUGCGUUUCCAUUACCCAUAGAUUUGCGCAAAACCUAAAUAUCGCAAUAGAAAACUGGUAAUGGAAACACCUAAAUUUCGAAAAACCUCCCAAAUAUCGCUAAAAAGUUCUUACGCUCUCAUGAGGUUGUUUUUCAGACGUGUCGAUACAGAAGUAUAUCGCAAAAGUGUAAUGGAAACACUAGCAAACAACAGCGAAAUGCAGAGUUGUACAAGGAGCUAGAAGGGGAAAUAAGGGAGAAGGGCUUUGAAAAGCCGUGGCAAAUCCUCCACAGCAAGUGGAAAACCCUGAAACAACGUUACCUGGCUGAAAGAUGGAUCCUGAGCAAAAGUGGAGCCGGGGGGAAGAUUACAAUAAAGUUCAAAUUCUUCAAUGCCAUGGACAGCAUUUUGGGUCAUCGACCCAUCGUGCAAGCAAUGUCGUCAGUCAUAAACAGCGUGGGUAAGUCCCAAUUAUUUCGUUUUUAUACGGCGUGACGAAGUUAGCAAACGUGCUAACAUAAGUGUAUGUGCUAACGCUAGGUUUACUUGGGGUUAUGACACCUUUUAUCUUUCACCGUUAAUCUAUUUUCAAAGUUGGGUCUGGGAGCUGGGUCUAUACAGACCUUCUCCGGAGUUCUCCAAAAUACUACAAAGGUAUAUUUAUGUACACAUACUUAUGUAUACAUACAAUAGGGCUUCUCAUCACAAUCUAGUUACAGCUCCACUACCUCAUGAAAUUUGGCUGGCACAUUUACAUCCUGUCUU